CAGUCGCCGCGGUAAUACAGAGGGUGCAAGCGUUAAUCGGAGUUACUGGGCGUAAAGGGCGCGUAGGCGGUUUGGCAAGUUUGGUGUGAAAUCUUCGGGCUCAACUCGAAGUCUGCAUCGAAAACUGCCGGGCUUGAGUAUGGGAGGGGUGAGUGGAAUUUCCGGUGUAGCGGUGAAAUGCGUAGAUAUCGGAAGGAACACCUGUGGCGAAAGCGGCUCACUGGACCAUAACUGACGCUGAGGCGCGAAAGCUAGGGGAGCAAACAGGAUUAGAUACCCCGGUAGUCCCUGUCUCUUAUAC
rnacentral:rRNA from 1 species